rnacentral:misc_RNA from 1 species
GAUGAAGAACGCAGUGAAAUGCGAUACUUGGUGUGAAUUGCAGAAUCCCGUGAACCAUCGAGUCUUUGAACGCAAGUUGCGCCCGAAGCCACUAGGCCGAGGGCACGCCUGCCUGGGCGUCACACGCCGUUGCCCCCCCAUCUACUCCUUCGGGAUUGCGGGGGGGCGGAUGAUGGCCUCCUGUGCGCCUAGCCGCGCGGUUGGCAUAAAUACCAAGUCCUCGGCGACGCACGCCACGACAAUCGGUGGUUGCGAAACCUCGGUUGCCCGUCGUGUGCGUUCGUCGCGCAUCGAGGGCUCGAAAAAAUGCUCGGCUUCGGCUGGGCUUUCAACGCGACCCCAGGUCAGGCGGGGUUACCCGCUGAAUUUAAGCAUAUCAAUAAGCGGAGGA